rnacentral:rRNA from 1 species
CCUACGGGAGGCAGCAGUGAGGAAUAUUGGUCAAUGGACGUAAGCCUGAACCAGCCAUGUCGCGUGCAGGAAGACGGCUCUAUGAGUUGUAAACCGCUUUUGUACGAGGGUAAACGCAGAUACGUGUCCCUGUCUGAAAGUACCGUAUGAAUAAGGAUCGGCUAACUCCGUGCCAGCAGCCGCGGUAAUACGGAGGAUUCAAGCGUUAUCCGGAUUUAUUGGGUUUAAAGGGUGCGUAGGCGGUCGUAUAAGUUAGAGGUGAAAGCCUGGGGCUCAACUACGGAAUUGCCUCUGAUACUGUGCGGCUAGAGAGUAGUUGAGGUAGGCGGAAUGUGUGGUGUAGCGGUGAAAUGCUGAGAGAUCAUACAGAACCCCGAUUGCGAAGGCAGCUUGCCAAGCUACGUCUGACGCUGAGGCACGAAAGCGUGGGGAUCAAACAGGAUUAGAUACCCGAGUAGUC